rnacentral:rRNA from 1 species
AUGAGUCAUCCUGAUGGCAUCUAUAUCCCCGAUGGAAAGUUCUACUUAGGAGAUGCUGGCUAUGCAUGUUGUCCAGAUGUUCUUCCACGCUUCAAGAUAACCAGAUACCAUCUCAACGAGUUCGCUGGUCGGUAUCCUAGGACUCCACACGAACUAUUUAAUCUCAGACAUUCCAGCCUUAGAGUUACCAUUGAGAGGCCAUUUGGAGCUCAGAAGAACAGGUUUAAGAUCCUGGAUUAGAAACCAUUCCACACUUUCCCCACCCAGGUUAAGCUUGUUCUUGCUUGUCGCAUUCUACAUAACUGGAUAUGGCAAUGGGGUUGUGAUGAACUGGUGCCUGAGGAGGAAGAUGUGACGUCUAAUGAUGUUGUCAGCUCUAGCCAUGGUGUGGAGGCAUUUGACAACGAAGCCUGGAGAACAAAAGUAUGGAGUGGGAAUAGGGAAUGUGGGAUAAUAGAGGCCAGACAAGGAUCUGAAGAAGAAGAAGGAAAAGAGCAAGAGUAG